rnacentral:rRNA from 1 species
GGAUGCAUGUGCUUGCCCUAACAAUCAUCUUCCAAACACCUGUGCACAUUUUUGAGGGAGUUUCGAGUUUUAUUGCCGUUUUUGGUGAUUUUCUUGUAUUCCCUUGAAUUAUUAUACGCUGUUAACAAUGAUGAACGUGCUCUGUGCCGCAAGGCCAUUAAUAUAAUACAACUUUUAACAACGGAUCUCUUGGCUCUCGCAUCGAUGAAGAACGCAGCGAAAUGCGAUAAGUAAUGUGAAUUGCAGAAUUCAGUGAAUCAUCGAAUCUUUGAACGCACCUUGCGCUCCCUGGUAUUCCGGGGAGCACGCCUGUUCGAGUGUCGCGAAAUUUCUCAAGCUUGGAUGGCCUUUUUGUCUGUCCUUAGCCUUGGUUGUUGGGCUUUGCCGUGUCCUUUGUUGGGACGGCUGGCCUUAAAAGCAUUAGCUGAUCCUCGUGUGGCACUGGUUCUACUCAGCGUGAUAACAGUCUGAUCGCUGAGGA